rnacentral:rRNA from 1 species
GAUGAACGCUGGCGGCGUGCCUAAUACAUGCAAGUCGAGCGAACAGACGAGUAGCUUGCUCCUCUGACGUUAGCGGCGGACGGGUGAGUAACACGUGGAUAACCUACCUAUAAGACUGGGAUAACUUCGGGAAACCGGCGCUAAUACCGCAUAAUAUAUUGAACCGCAUGGUUCAAUAGUGAAAGACGGUUUUGCUGUCACCUAUAGAUGGAUCCGCGCCGCAUUAGCUAGUUGGUAAGGUAACGGCUUACCAAGGCAACGAUGCGUAGCCGACCUGAGAGGGUGAUCGGCCACACUGGAACUGAGACACGGUCCAGACUCCUACGGGAGGCAGCAGUAGGGAAUCUUCCGCAAUGGGCGAAAGCCUGACGGAGCAACGCCGCGUGAGUGAUGAAGGUCUUCGGAUCGUAAAACUCUGUUAUUAGGGAAGAACAAAUGUGUAAGUAACUAUGCACGUCUUGACGGUACCUAAUCAGAAAGCCACGGCUAACUACGUG